AGCAGCCGCGGUAAUUCCAGCUCCAAUAGCGUAUAUUAAAGUUGUUGCAGUUAAAAAGCUCGUAGUUGAAUUUCGGGAUCAGUACGCUGGUCGUGCCUUAGGUAUGCACUGGUGUCACUGGUUCCUCCCUUCUGAAGAACUGUCAUGCCAUUAAUUUGGUGUGGCGGGGAAUCAGGACUGUUACUUUGAAAAAAUUGAGUGUUUAAAGCAGGCUCGCGCUUGAAUACAUUAGCAUGGAAUAAUGAAAUAGGACGUUUGAUCCUAUUUUGUGGUUUCUAGGAUCGACGUAAUGAUUAAUAGGGAUAGUUGGGGGCAUUAGUAUUCAAUUGUCAGAGGUGAAAUUCUUGGAUUUAUUGAAGACUAACUACUGCGAAAGCAUUUGCCAAGGAUGUUUUCAUUAAUCAAGAACGAAAGUUAGGGGAUCGAAGACGAUCAGAUACCGUCGUAGUCUUAACCAUAAACUAUGCCGACUAGGGAUCGGAUGAUGUUAAUUUUUAUGACUC
rnacentral:rRNA from 1 species